AUGAGUGAUGGUAGGAGCGAUAUAGAGUGUUAUAAUUGUGGACGUCAGGGCCAUAUUUCGCGUGACUGCAGAUCUGGCGGCGGCGGAGGUGGUGGUGGUAGAGGACGAGGUGGUGGACGCGGUGAUGGAAGAGAUGGUUGUUACAACUGUGGUAAAAGUGGCCAUUUAGCUCGUGACUGUCAGGAUGGAGGUGACGAUUGUACCUGCUACAAGUGUGGAAAACUGGCCAUAUAGUCAGAGAUUGCUCUGAAAGUGGUGGCAACACUUGGGGUGAAGAGAUGGUGGUAGCCAAGGCAAUUGCUACAGGUGCAACAUGUCUGGCCAUAUUGCUCGUAACUGCCCGAAUGAAGAUAAUUACAGCGGAGGUGGCGGCGGCGGCGGAGGUGGUGGUGGCAAAUGCUACCAGUGUGGAGAACCUGGUCACUUUGCACUGGAUUGUGAAUCAGCUUGAAGUCCUUUAAUAAAAAGGACCGCAGAGCCUAUCUUACCGUAGUUGAAGUGGCCAGUACCAGUUGCAGAAAGAAAGUCCAGAGGGUAGAAAAGAUUAUUUCAUGUUUGGUCCAUUGAUCAGUUUCUUCAAAAAGCUAAAAAUAUAAUAAAAUUUAAUGAAAAAAAAACGGGGUGGGAAGGAUAGUAUUUCCAGAACAGGUGACAAUCCUAGUUCUUUUUGACAACUUUGUUGGUCUGGUUUUUCCUAAGAGGAAACUGGCUGGUCUUGGCUGAAGUGAGAUAUGGUAUAGUUUGCAAAAGUCUGCGAUGCUGAAGAAUAUAAGUUACCAUUUGAUUGUAUUCAUUAUUAUAUAUUAGAGUAGAGUAUCUUUUGAAACCCCAAACAUUGGGGAUCCCCCCGAAUUGUUUUAUUCCUUGCUCUCAAGAUUAAUUUAGCAGCUUUCAGAUCUUUAGAUAACCAAUUUAGUGUCAACAUAAGCAGUUAAACAGCGGAAACUGUUGGAUCAUUUAAUAAAUGUGAAGGCAUUUUGAGGACUGAUGAUUUGAUGAUCUAGAAUUUGAUUUCACUGGUAUACAGAGUUGAUACUGUUUGAGGUACAUUUAAUACAAUAUAAAACAUUGCUUAGUGUUGUAAUUUCAAAUCAUGUUAUUAGGAGUUUUUGGCAUGUGAUGUUGAAGAAAAAUUGGGUGUUUAUAAAGCUGGGUUUGUAAAGCUAAGACUUGCAUUUUACCGUAUGUAUGUAUGAUUACAAUCACCUGUAAACAGUCUGGGCAUAUUGAAAUGUUGCCCCCCUGUGCUAGAAUUUUGGAGGUGACCAUGACCAUGGCCAAUGUAAAAGUGAUGGAGUGAAAUUAUGUGAACCCCCCUUUUGGAAAAGAACCGCCCUUCAGAGUUGUGGCAGGUGAUAACCACGAAUUGCGUACUUAACAAAAUUCUGGCAUGUUGGUGUGCCACUGUCUUCAUUUGUGGAGAGUGACAAUCCUUGAUAAGUUCAUGUUACUGCUGCAACAAGAUCAUUUGUAGAUCAUGGGCUGCAAGCAACUUUGUGCUGUCAGUUAAAGUGUGUGCUCUUUGCAACAAUGUUUGAAGAGCAGUUCAGGGGACAGAAGAAUGUUGUGGAAGUUUUUUAAUUUUCGUACUGCCUACGUACUGAUCACGCUAGUUAAUUGUAAUUCUAGUGCCUUUGUCUUGGCUUGUAUUUCUGGCAAUUUUUAGACGACCAAAUUUCUUGCUACUUUUAUCAGAUUUUGUCAUGUUUGCUGCUUUGAGCAAGAUCAAAAAUUGUAAUGUUGCUUUCCUUCCUGGGACGCUUAAAACAGAUCCAAAAUUUGUUCUUGCCCUUCUUUGCAUCAAUUUCCAACUUUAGUUUUACAAUGCACAUGUUUGUGCUUCCAGUUUCUGUACAAUUUGUGUAGUUGUACAUUUUCAACCUGGUCGCAGACUUUGGCCUGGCUUUUGCAGCGCCUGGGUAGUUAACUGCCACACAACUUUCGUUUAUUAUGUGUCCGAAGCAGAUUUGAGUAUUAAACUUUGUGGUUGGAUUCAGGGAAAACAAGUCUUAAUAAUUUUUUGUUCAAAAAGCUUAAAAUUUUCCUUAUUUUUAAAUAGCAAGCGUGUCCGAUAUUUGUGUUUAAAGUCCAUGUCAACCAGGCCUUUGGUGGCCAUGUAUUUUUGUAUCACAUACGAGAGAAGUUGAGAGGUGAAGAGCAUAGUGUGAAGGAAGCAGCUGUUGAGGUUUCUGUAAACGUUAAAAAUAUAUAUUAUAGACAUCAGAGAGGUUAUAAAUGAAGUGUAUUUCUUUUAAAGUUUUAUUUUGAAAGUUCUGUUAGUAACAAUUUUCAGUGGUUCUCUUCCCAUUUGUUGUGCAUGUUUCUUCUGUCAUGAGCAGAAAUUUCAUGUCUCCAAAUGACUAGAGAAUCGCCACGUGGGAGAUGCUGUUGUAAUCAAGUGGUUUUUGUAAAUGAAUAAAUGCAAGAGAGCAGAAAAAAACAAAACAAACAAA